AUGUAAGAAAAUUCUAGGGUAGUGAAAAUGCUCAUAUUUGAGUAGCUGCCCAAAGGUGAUGCUUGUAAAGAAGCUAAAUAGUCCUGUGUCCUAGAAGGCAUAUUGAAAAUCGUAUAAUCAGAGGACGGCCUACCUGUCUUUCUCGUAGGUCACUACGUCAGCGACAACUUUAGCGUGGCAGAGAAGGGCUGGCUGUCUUUCAGUGACCACGUAGUGACCAGAUCAGAGGAGGAGCAUGUGCUGAGAAUGAGGCAGAGAAGCACGUACAUGCUGUUCUACACCCAGCAGGAGGACUUACACUGAAGACAGCUGAUGCAUCCAUACUGGGGACUAAUACUUAAAAAGUAUGGAAGUAGGAGAACAUGGAAGAGGACCAGAAGCACACGUCUGCAUGAACCUGCGUUGGAUAUCACCAUCGCCAUUUUCACCGGGACAAUCUACAGCAGCAGUCCUCCCUAUUUAGAUAACUUAAAAUGUCCAUUUUCUUUUAUUUACACUAUAUUGCCAAAAGUUUUGGGACACCUACCUUUACAGACAUAUGAACUUUAAUGACAUCCCACUCUU